UACGGAGGGGGCUAGCGUUGUUCGGAAUUACUGGGCGUAAAGCGCGCGUAGGCGGCUUUGCAAGUUAGAGGUGAAAGCCCGGAGCUUAACUCCGGAACUGCCUUUAAAACUGCAUCGCUAGAAUCGUGGAGAGGUGAGUGGAAUUCCGAGUGUAGAGGUGAAAUUCGUAGAUAUUCGGAAGAACACCAGUGGCGAAGGCGGCUCACUGGACCGGUACUGACGCUGAUGCGCGAAAGCGUGGGGAGCAAACAGG
rnacentral:rRNA from 1 species